GGGCGAUUAGCUCAGCUGGUUAGAGCGCUACGUUGACAUCGUAGAGGUCAGUGGUUCGACUCCGCUAUCGCCCA
rnacentral:tRNA from 1 species